UACGUAGGUGGCAAGCGUUGUCCGGAAUUAUUGGGCGUAAAGCGCGCGCAGGCGGUCCUUUAAGUCUGAUGUGAAAGCCCACGGCUCAACCGUGGAGGGUCAUUGGAAACUGGGGGACUUGAGUGCAGAAGAGGAAAGCGGAAUUCCACGUGUAGCGGUGAAAUGCGUAGAGAUGUGGAGGAACACCAGUGGCGAAGGCGACUUUCUGGUCUGUAACUGACGCUGAGGCGCGAAAGCGUGGGGAGCAAACAGG
rnacentral:rRNA from 1 species